GGGGACAAUACCCACCCGGAAUUUGCGACCUCGCGAAAACGCUCUCACCAAUCCCGCAGCCCAGUUUGUCAUCUGGUCACCUGUUUGGAGAAUGAGAAAUGUCAGAAUACAGAAGGGAAGUGCUUACUAACCACACCAGAGACAGGGCCUUGCUUUGUUGUCAAGCUGGUUUUGAGAACUUCUGGCUUCAAGCAAUCCUCCCACCCAGACCUCCCAAAGUGCUGGGAUUACAGGUGUAAAGCACAGAGCACGGCCUAAAAUAGUAUCUUAAUAUUAUUAGAAACACUUAUUAAAUAAAUAUGCAUUAUUCUGUGUGAUUUCUUAUCUGUAGUUCCAUGUUAUCGAAUGAUCCAUUAAUUUCUUUUACCCAAUUAUCAAAUGGAAUGUGAUACAUUUGUAUCAAUUAGUUGCAUAUUUUAGAAAGCAAGCUUUUUAAAGAGCAUCAGAUACAUCGAG
rnacentral:lncRNA from 10 species